rnacentral:rRNA from 1 species
GUGGGGAAUCUUAGACAAUGGGGGAAACCCUGAUCUAGCCAUGCCGCGUGAGCGAUGAAGGCCUUAGGGUUGUAAAGCUCUUUCAGCUGGGAAGAUAAUGACGGUACCAGCAGAAGAAGCCCCGGCUAACUCCGUGCCAGCAGCCGCGGUAAUACGGAGGGGGCUAGCGUUGUUCGGAAUUACUGGGCGUAAAGCGCACGUAGGCGGAUCAGAAAGUCAGAGGUGAAAUCCCAUGGCUCAACCUUGGAACUGCCUUUGAAACUCCUGGUCUUGAGGUCGAGAGAGGUGAGUGGAAUUCCGAGUGUAGAGGUGAAAUUCGUAGAUAUUCGGAGGAACACCAGUGGCGAAGGCGGCUCACUGGCUCGAUACUGACGCUGAGGUGCGAAAGCGUGGGGAGCAAACAGGAUUAGAAACCCGGGUAGUCC